rnacentral:lncRNA from 1 species
GGGUCAGCGAGAAGAAGUCAGAGGGAAGUGAGGACUGACGCAAGGGGAGCAAGACGCAGGAAAUUGGGGGCAGCGUGGAAGGCUGCUUUGAAAGCAGCAUGAGAAAAGGAAAGAGGGCAGAAGCACAGAGGCAGAGAGCAAAGCUUCACUUCCUUCUCUCUCGGUUAAAUCUUUCCAAACUUAUAUUUUAUUUCUGUUUUAAUAAUGUGUAACUAAAUUUAUUUUGGCUAGAGGUUAAUUCAAAGCCAUGAAUAUAUUUGUAAUAUGAAUUGAUUACCUUCAGUUGUGAUUUCUG